rnacentral:rRNA from 1 species
ACAUCCAGAGAAUUUAGCAGAGAUGCUUUAGUGGCCUUUCGGGAACUCUGAGACAGGUGCUGCAUGGCUGUCGUCAGCUCGUGUUGUGAAAUGUUGGGUUAAGUCCCGNAACGAGCGCAACCCUUAUCCUUUGUUGCCAGCACGUAAUGGUGGGAACUCAAAGGAGACUGCCGGUGAUAAACCGGAGGAAGGUGGGGAUGACGUCAAGUCAUCAUGGCCCUUACGAGUAGGGCUACACACGUGCUACAAUGGCGCAUACAAAGAGAAGCGACCUCGCGAGAGCAAGCGGACCUCAUAAAGUGCGUCGUAGUCCGGAUUGGAGUCUGCAACUCGACUCCAUGAAGUCGGAAUCGCUAGUAAUCGUAAAUCAGAAUGUUUACGGUGAAUACGUUCCCGGGCCUUGUACACACCGCCCGUCACACCAUGGGAGUGGGUUGCAAAAGAAGUAGAUAGCUUAACCUUCGGGAGGGCGUUUACCACUUUGUGAUUCAUGACUGGGGUGAAGUCGUAACAAGGUAGGCGUAGUGCU